AGGAGGAUCAAGAAGUACAGGAGAACAUCUACCAGCGCCUGUCCAAACCAACAAAGCACCGUGGAGAGUUGGUCAGGGCUGUUAAACUGCGUAGCUUUACCACCAUCUGGAAUGCAGAAACCAUCGCUGAGGAAUGGAAUAGGAUUAUGUCAGUGGUCACUGAUGCUGCUCAUCGCAAUGUAAGGAGUGAAGGAGGCUGCCACAGGUAUCCAGAAGAAGGCGUUACUCAGGUACCC